rfam:Synechococcus phage S-RIM8 A.HR1, complete genome.
UAACAAACACCUGCCGUUUGACCGAGACUAGGCAGGUCUACCAAUCCGUCUCUCAUAUCCAGUCUGAGGGUGACUGGAGCAUAGUAUCACCA